AUUGAACGCUGGCGGCAGGCUUAACACAUGCAAGUCGAGCGGUAACAGGGGGUGCUUGCACCCCGCUGACGAGCGGCGGACGGGUGAGUAAUGCUUAGGAAUCUGCCCAGUAGUGGGGGAUAGCCCGGGGAAACCCGGAUUAAUACCGCAUACGUCCUACGGGAGAAAGCAGGGGAUCUUCGGACCUUGCGCUACUGGAUGAGCCUAAGUCGGAUUAGCUAGUUGGUGGGGUAAAGGCCUACCAAGGCGACGAUCCGUAGCUGGUCUGAGAGGAUGAUCAGCCACAUCGGGACUGAGACACGGCCCGAACUCCUACGGGAGGCAGCAGUGGGGAAUAUUGGACAAUGGGGGCAACCCUGAUCCAGCCAUGCCGCGUGUGUGAAGAAGGCUUUCGGGUUGUAAAGCACUUUCAGCGAGGAGGAAGGCUCUGAAGUUAAUACCUUCAGGGAUUGACGUUACUCGCAGAGGAAGCACCGGCUAACUCCGUGCCAGCAGCCGCGGUAAUACGGAGGGUGCAAGCGUUAAUCGGAAUUACUGGGCGUAAAGCGCGCGUAGGUGGUUAGGUAAGCGAGAUGUGAAAGCCCCGGGCUUAACCUGGGAACGGCAUUUCGAACUGUCUGACUAGAGUGUGGUAGAGGGUAGUGGAAUUUCCUGUGUAGCGGUGAAAUGCGUAGAUAUAGGAAGGAACACCAGUGGCGAAGGCGGCUACCUGGACCAACACUGACACUGAGGUGCGAAAGCGUGGGGAGCAAACAGGAUUAGAUACCCUGGUAGUCCACGCCGUAAACGAUGUCAACUAGCCGUUGGGACUCUUGAAGUCUUAGUGGCGCAGCUAACGCACUAAGUUGACCGCCUGGGGAGUACGGCCGCAAGGUUAAAACUCAAAUGAAUUGACGGGGGCCCGCACAAGCGGUGGAGCAUGUGGUUUAAUUCGACGCAACGCGAAGAACCUUACCUGGCCUUGACAUCCAGAGAACUUUCCAGAGAUGGAUUGGUGCCUUCGGGAACUCUGAGACAGGUGCUGCAUGGCCGUCGUCAGCUCGUGUCGUGAGAUGUUGGGUUAAGUCCCGUAACGAGCGCAACCCCUAUCCCUGGUUGCUAGCAGGUAAUGCUGAGAACUCCAGGGAGACUGCCGGUGACAAACCGGAGGAAGGUGGGGAUGACGUCAGGUCAUCAUGGCCCUUACGGCCAGGGCUACACACGUGCUACAAUGGCGCGUACAGAGGGCUGCCAACUCGCGAGAGUGCGCCAAUCCCUUAAAACGCGUCGUAGUCCGGAUCGGAGUCUGCAACUCGACUCCGUGAAGUCGGAAUCGCUAGUAAUCGCGAAUCAGAAUGUCGCGGUGAAUACGUUCCCGGGCCU
rnacentral:rRNA from 1 species